CUCGCAGACGACCUAAAUAGGUACGGUUGGCACAAAGGCAGAAAUAUGGGCAGAAGGUGGGCAUAUAGGCAGGCACGUAUAGGAAGUAGACGUGAAUGUAGGCAUAUGGUAGACACAUACAUAGGUAGGAAGGUAGCCGUCAGGUCG
ensembl:ncRNA H01G02.13 ncRNA